rnacentral:lncRNA from 1 species
AUGACGGCCUACCCCGGCAAAACCCAGACGACGCUGGGCCAAUUGUGCACCGCCCUAUGGGACUCCCAAUCACAGCCGGAUGUGAUGCAACCUGGACUCAAACCGAAGCCUAUGCAUCCUGAGUGGAUAAUGUAUUGCCGGCUGCGUAAAAUGGAUUUGGAUGGUCUUUCUUUAAGAGGAAAGCAGGGAAAAGAGCAGACUCUGUUUAAAGGAAGAGUGGUUUAAAAAGAAAAGGAUAGAACACAGACCCCUGUAAAACUCAUUGCCUUCCAUAGGCUACUGUGGCUAAACCAAUCGCAGGACAGACUCACUGUGUUUAACAGUGUCUGUCUGUACACCGGAAGGGCCUUCAUGCCUACAUCAACCAUGCAGUGAGGGUGAGCUGGCAGUGUGCCCCCUCUCUCCAUGCUGGCUUUGGGCCUAGAGCAGGGGAGAGGAGAGGGGAGAGGUGGAUCCCCCUCAAAAACACUCCUGUUUCAGUAAGACUUCAACUGCAAUCCCUUUGCAAUCUCUUACAACAGACACUACAAACAUUUUCCAAUUAGAUAGGAUGAUCCCCAACAAUGAGGAACUGAAUGUGGGUGGUGUGUUGGAAGUUAAGUUGACCAAACACCUACCUCUGUCAGUGGAUGACCAUGGAGAGAGCUUGCCCCCAGGGAAUUUCUAUACCUCAAGGGGCUUCUGGCGGAGGCUGGAGGGAGACAAGUUGUUCUGGGAAAUACCUCAGCAGAGCCUCAGAGUCAUCUAUCUCCCUCACCUUUGACCAUGUCCAGCUGAACACCUGACCAGAGACAACACAUAUGAGGAUGUCAAGCCGUCUCCUACUAUGUGUCUCCCCAUUGUGCGUCCCCGACCCUGGACCAUGGCACAGAGACAAAAACCCUCUCACCCCAAAGGUAGUAAUGACAGCUGUUACAGGAAAUGUGAAACAAUUAGUAUAAUAUAUAUAUAUAUAUAUAUAUAUAUAUUUUUUUUUUUUAAACAUGCUUUAAUCUUUCAUUAACACCUUGUCUCCUGUGUCGCAGCUUCCUCCCAAGCCUCUCACGUUGUGGGUGGAGAGGAAGGACUCACUGGCAGCGACACAAUCCUCACCUACAGAAGCCCCCCCUAGACCUGCCUUACCCAAGCGACCCACAACCAUCCAUAAAACACACAGACUGCCUCAGGUAAACACACACAAGCAUUUCAUAAGCGUUUUCUACAAAGUGGAAAUUGUGUUUCCUCAAACUACUACGGCGGUUGUAUGUAAUUUUGACUCUGAGUGGGAAAAGCAUGCUAUUAGGUGGAUUUGUCUGUUUUGCAUGACUACACAUAAAGAAGCCAAGCUAGUGUUGUAGGCCUACACUCCAUUGUCAAUUAGGAGAUGUCUGAGCUUCCUGUUUGCUUGGCUCUGGAUCCAGGUCACUCAUUCUACUACUCAAGUUGAAACUUGACUGAUGGCCCUAUCCAAUCCAAACCAAACCAGUGCCCAAUAGAAAACAACAUUUUUCAGUGCAACAAGGAAGUGUGCUUAAAUCACAUUUAUUUGAUUGGAAACAAUUUUAUU